GAAGUCAGCACAUAGGUAGUCAGUCAUAACCGAUUGGUAUUCAAAUAUACAAAGGAUGAAUUACAUAAGCUUUACCUGAACAACCCGACAAUUUGCCGUGAAUCCUUCUUGUGAUUGUGUGUCCUUAAAAGUUCUGAGCUGCUGUUGAUGUAGAGUUUUGUAACGGUGGACCCCUCAGUCUAUGACAGAAACAAGUAGGACAGAAGAUUCCAUCUUCAUCACUAACAAAAGAAAAAGGGAGGUUUGCAUUUUAAGGAGCAGUACAUAUUGGCAGCCAUGUAGCUUUGUAGUUGCUUCAAAGAAUUUUUUUCCUUGUCUGGUAAUUGGUUGGUAAUGUUGCCCAUUCUAUUGUUAACUUUUUUCUCUAGUUCAUGCUGUAAAACAUUUAUUUUAGAACUUUGAAUACCUCCUAUCCUUAUAGCCAUGGAACACUUGACAUUGACUCCAUUUACACUUGCAGAAACAAUAACGAACAUAUUUGCAACAAGUAUUUUUUUGUGACCAUGAAACAAAAAAUUGUGAAUUUUUCUAAGUACCUAUAUUUAGAAGACAUCUAGCGGAGGAAUUGCUUGUUAUUGAGUACUCUACUGAACUGUCAAUUUGUUCGUUGUCAGGGGGCUAUAUCUAGUGUGGUUGCCAUAAUAAUGGUUGCCUCGCGUAUUGGAAAUGCUUUGCCGAAUCCCAGGAUAUCGCCAAGUGUGCCAUAUUGUCAUAAUCGUUUUUCUCUUUAGGAUGGUUACCAAUGUGCAGUUGAAUUCUAAAAGCUUUUGUUUGAUAUGCUAUAUUUAAAGAACUGAUGUUGGCAUCAGCUUGAUGGGAAAAAGUCAUUUCCAAUGUGGGCACAAACUUGGAUUUAUUUGAUGAUAGAGUCGGAUGGUUUUCCUGAAGUUGCAGUUUGAAAUAACCUUUCAAAGCAUAAACUCGUCUUCGUAGAAAGGGACUUGUGAAAAGUAACGCUGGCUCUGUAAAUGUUCUUGGUUUGGGGCAAGAUGUUGAAUAAAUUGCGAUGAUUGGAUGGACAACAUGGAAUUCCUACACUUUAUUCGUAUUCCC